CAACCCUCAAGCUAUGCUUGGUUAUGGGCCGUGCCGGCAACGGCUGGCCCCAAAAUUAGUGGCGGCGCCAUCGUGCUCUCAGCGUAGUAAUUCUUCUCGCUGUUGGGUCCCGGUGGACGCUGGCCAGCAACCCCCAAUUUUCUAUGG
rnacentral:misc_RNA from 1 species